rnacentral:snoRNA from 1 species
GGGACCCUUAGAGACAUUGCAGGUGUGGCUUCUGUGUCACAUAUAUAUCAGUAGGUGGCAGAGAGGAGAGAGACUAUGUCUACACUCAGUGUUCUGACCUAUGAACAUCUGAAUGAUCAGUAGCCUAACACU